rnacentral:tRNA from 1 species
CGGGAUGUCGCGUAGUUUGGUUAUCGUGUCUGCUUUGGGAGCAGAAUUUCGAGGGUUCAAAUCCUUCCAUCCCGA